rnacentral:misc_RNA from 1 species
GAUAACAGGUUUUUCAGCUUCAUGCAGAAAUGCGAGCCCCUUAGCUGCGCCAAAGGCAAUCUUCAUUCUAAUGGACCACGGAAGAGGAAGCAAUACUCUUGAGAACAAAUUGUUUUCAACACUUCCCCGAGCCAUAUACUCGUAUAUAAGAACUCGAUGUUCAGCUUCACAGCAGUAACCAAUCAACUUUACUAAAUUUGGGUGCGAAAGUUGGCCGAGAAAUAUCACUUCAGCCAGCCAUUCCCUGUGUCCCUGAUAACUAUUAUCCCCAUCAUGAACCUUAACAGCUACUGUAAUUGGCUGGAGUCCUUCCCUCAAAUCUUCAGUAAUAUAUCCUUUAUAAACAUUUCCGAAUCCUCCUCCACCGAGCAUGUAAUCUUGUCUAAAGUUGCAUGUUAUUAUCUUAAGUUCAUCAAAGGAGAAUGCAAUCAAUGGAUUUGUAGCUGAGCUACGACGCAGGUCUUCUACUUCUUCAGGGUUCGAAGGCAUCUUAGUGUGAUCCAUCCUUGCAUUUUGAGAUGGACUUUUAUCCUUUGGAGACUCAGAUUUUGCAUUAGAAGAGACUCUGUAUAUUGAAGGUUGACCCCUACAGCAGCAAUUUCCCAUUUAUUAUAGUAUAAAACCCCUAACUUUGUAUCUCAACAACCACCCAUGAUUAUUACUAAAAAUGAAACAACAGAAUUAACCAAACCCCCAAGAAGAAGAAGAUGAAGAAAGU